CUAUUCCCCCCCCCCGCCCCCCCCCCACUUAGUAUUCCACUGAUUAUCAGUGUGACGGGUGCCCAGUGUGGGACGGUGACAUGGUUGCCAUGGUUACCGAGCGGUGCCAUUGGGCACCCACCCGGCAAAUCAUCUAGUGUUGAUGAGUUUAAUCACCACAUUUGAUACGGAACGUCAUCCGUGCACUUUAACACAUGUAACAUAAUUUAUAUAAUUUAGUUAGUUUUUUAUUCUAAGGGCGUCCCACAUGGACGCCGUGUCCCGUUGCACUACCCUUUUGAGUUAUUUAUACAUUUUGUAACUAACUUGUAUUGUUUCUGAAUCCGAGAGAUUGCAACUAGCAUACUCGCUAGUAGUUUGAAGGAUCAUUAUGUGGUCCCUCAUCUCCUCUCAAUCGAGAAACCGCAGAGUUGUGAGGGGGUGCAUUACCGCCAGUGGUGCAUCUUGGGAAGGGGUUGUGGCUACCCCCACCCCCUCCCCCUCCAUGCCCGCCUCGCCUUUGAGAUAAAAGACAUGCUUGUAAACAGAGUCAACUUCUCGUCCUUUUCCACCCCUAGAAAAAAAUCCUGAAUGCUUCUCUGCUCACAAGUAGUCUCCAAAGAUCAUUUGGACCCUUCACAUAUCGUUAUUAAAAAAAGAUAGGAAUCCAGGGAAUUGUGGGACGGUGGAAUAUCCCCUUUAAUCAUGCAUUCAAGGUUGGAUAUCAAUAGACUAAGUAUAUGGGCCACCUGCAAUUUUAAAUUUACAAUACUUCGGCUUGGAAUAUUUUAAUUUCAUGCUUUAAUCUUUUGAAGAUGAUUUGCAAGUUUGAACAUUCCACAUCAAAACCAUCAUUUCCAAAAUUAUGUUGAUAAGUAAACAUUUUUUUUCCUCUUUUCUUCUUUUUUUCUUCCAAGUGUUCCUAAAUGACUUCAAUUUUUAUUUUCAUCUUUAACAAAAAGUCCAAUUCAUUAUUCAUAGCUUCGUAAUUUUGUUGUGAUUUGUCAAAGGGGUUCGUCUUUCACGGGAAUUGCGCUUAAGCCAACAGCUACAGGGACAGUCAAUAGCACAGCGUGUGAGCCCGCCUUUCUAGUUCGGUAACUAUAAACUAUUCCCCUUGUUGCUGGGAUAUAUCUAUUUCAAUUUUCCGUCGCCACAAGUGGCUAGAAGACUAAAAACCGUGUUGAUAUUGGAACGGAUUUUACAGAAUUUUAACAGAAAUUUAUUUUCUGUGGGAAAACGUUUCUUCGAAGGGCUGCAGAUUGAUUUUAAGGCUUACGGGAACAAGAUUUUAUUAAGCUUUCAGUAAAAGAUAUCGUAGACAUUGCGACGCCACAAUUUUUCACUGCGGCAAAUGGCGGCUGAAGUGAGUUACCGUGGCAACACGCAGAUUGGACUUAACCUUAAUGAGCCGAUGUACAAACCACCGAGAACGGCAAUGAGAAGGCAUAGCGCAAAUGUGCCCAAAUCCCGGUAUGUCCCUUCGCUAUACCAAAACCCGGACGAAGAGAUCUCAAGAAAGCUGAGAAAAUUUCUAAGAAAACCACCACUGAAUUCUGCGGAGUAUUUUGAAUAUCUUCACAAAAGGCGAUCAAUGAGUGUUUUCAGCAUCGACCGAGCCACCACGCCACGAAUACUGCGACCGCUGAGCGGCAUGGCAGCGGGCGAUAAGAUACACGAGAGAUUGAAGCAUCUGAUGCCAGAAAGACGGUCCAUACAGGACAUGAUUCUACCGCCGAUCACAGACGGGUGUAAGGAGAAUUUUAACAACUUGUACAAGUCACCCGACCCAGGUCCCACGGACGCGCAGGGCCUAGAACCGAACGACCAGCUAAGAUACUGUCAGUACAUCAGACAUAGGCCGGAGUUUAAAAGGAAGACGGCAUGGAAAUAGCCGCACUUACAUGUACUGCAUGUCAAUAGCCUAAUUCACAUACAUCAGACAUAGGCCGGAGUUAAAAGGAAGACGGCAUUGAAACACAGGUAGCCCAAGCUCUUUAUUUCCCCUAACGAUUUUCAAAAAUCAAAAUUAGUUAAAAAUAAAAAAACCAACUUGUUGAAAAGACGUGUGUAGUCUAGUGUUGUGUUUAUGUUUCCUUUUUGCGUGUUUUUUUGGUCGUAUUAAAGCGCCUUUUUCAAGAUUCAAGAUUCACGAUUUGAAAUUUUAAACGAAUUACCGUAAAUUCGAUAGGGUCAAAUAAAGGGCUUGGGCUACCUGUGAUGAAAUAGUCUCUUUUACAUGUACUGCCCCCCCUUCCUGUGAACGCACCUGUAGCUACCUAAAACGAAAAAGUAUUCAACCCGCACUACAUCUAUUGGCAAUUCUUAUAGUGAUAAGCAACUAGUGAGGCAAAGAAAUUAGUAAGUAAAAUGCUAAGCAGUAUAGGAAUUUUUUGUAUAAGUUCGCGAUAAUCUGACUAAGUAAUAAAAGCUUAUAGUACUA